GGCGUGAGAGUUGAGGCCUCCAGGAACAAUUACUUCCUGCCUCCCUCCCCCGCCCCUCUGCCAACCCCAGAUCACUGGAGAAGGGCUGGAGAAGGCCCCACAGAUUCUUUGAUUCAGCUGGCCGUCACAGGGACCCAGGUUCUAACUGGCUUCCCUGCUUCCCAUGCCCCUCCCCCACUGUGUGUAUCAGAAGGGGUUAAAUUCUGGGGACAGUAGUGAGGAUCUCUAGGGGAAGUGGUCUCUGAAGGGUAAUGACUGGUCUUUGGGAGCAGAGCGAGGGCUCUGAGGUCAAGGACAGGCUGGCAAGGGGACAUGAGGUUUUGUGGUACUUUUUAAGUGUAUGCCUUGGACAAAUUUCUAAGCUUCCCUUCCAGGUCCUCCUUUGUAAACCAGUAAUGAGACUUCUUCUGUAAGGGUUGUGAUGAGAUUAGAGAUCUUAUAAGUAAUGUGUCUGAAACACAGUAGGUAUUCAACAGAUGGUCUAUUUUGCCAGGGCUAUUUCUGGGUGGGUGAGUUGUACAGCGAUGAGGCAGGGUACCUAGCACAGAGCUUCCUGCCAAAGUGUGUGUGUUGUAGGACGGGGUAAGUACAGUCUCGUGCCUGCUCGAGGAGGCCUUAGGCACUGGGUCUUAGGAGGAGGGGAAGGGCUAGGGCAAGGUGGGGAUGGGUAGGGAUUGGGCUUCCAGAGAGCCUGGAGUCUUCACUCUCACCCCCAGCCCUCCUCAGGGAGCCCCUGUCAGAACCCAGGGCUCUAGUUCUGGGCUUGGAGGGAGGGGCGCCCUCUAAACUCACCUCCAUCCAUCUCUCUUUAUCUGGGCUGCUGAAGGGCUGGAGCUCCAAUGGGGCCUCUGAUGGGGAACAGAUACAGACCAGGCGGAAGCAGCCGGAACUGUGCUGAGCUGGAGCUGAGGACCAGGCCAGGAGGUCCUCUGCCCUUCUUCCCUGGCCCAAGAUAGAAAUAUGGGAGAGAAGGAACAUGGAACACAAGGUCUACCCUCCUCUAGAGGUAAGGAAGAACUUCAUGGAGGGAGGAAGUACACUGAAGCUGAGACCUGAAGGGAAGUAGGAGGCACCCAGAUGUGGAGAGGGCAAUGAUUCUCAACCCUCUUGGCCCCUUCUUCUCCUUACACCUCUUCCUUCCCAGACUCCUGGGACCCAUUCUUGGCUUGGUGCCCUUCAGUCCAGUCUCCAAAUCCAUCCUCCUCUACCUACACUCUACCUAACAUCCAGUUUCCUCAAGGAUCUCCCAACUCUGGGACCACAGCAGGACACCAUCCCCCAUGGAUUCAGUUGAAAGACUUCAGACCUGGAGGAGGAGGACCCGGGGGUGAAGUCUGGAUAUUCUUCAAGGGAAAUAACCAGAGCCUAGAAGCCACCUGGGUGCUGCCACUCUCAGACCCACAUGCUCAGGAAGAACUCAGAGAGAGCAUCAAGAAAUGAGGACUGGGAGUUCCCGUCGUGGCGCAGUGGUUAACGAAUCCGACUAGGAACCAUGAGGGGGGGGGUUCAGUCCCUGCCCUUGCUUAGUGGGUUAACGCUCCGGCCUUGCCGUGAGCUGUGGUGUAGGGCACAGACGCGGCUCGGAUCCCGCGUUGCUGUGGCUCUGGCGUAGGCCGGUGGCUACAGCUCCGAUUAGACCCCUAGCCUGGGACCCUCCAUAUGCCUCGGGAGCGGCCCCAAAAAAAUAGCAAAAAG
ensembl:lncRNA